CGGAGGUACUCGAGUGGCGAACGGGUGAGUAACACGUGGGUGAUCUGCCCUGCACUCUGGGAUAAGCCUGGGAAACUGGGUAUAAUACCGGAUAGGACCGCACUUUAGUGUGUGUGGUGGAAAGUUUUUUCGGUGUAGGAUGAGCCCGCGGCCUAUCAGCUUGUUGGUGGGGUAAUGGCCUACCAAGGCGGCGACGGGUAGCCGGACUGAGAGGUUGGUCGGCCACAUUGGGACUGAGAUACGGCCCAG
rnacentral:rRNA from 1 species